rnacentral:lncRNA from 1 species
UUCUUAUAUGAUUCAAUGUUAUUUCUCUAUUUUCUUAUCUGCUGAUUUAUCUAAUGAUUUAGAUGAGUUAUACUUAUCGUUUCCUGAUACAGUAUCUAUCUUAUGUAGAUAUAUUUAAAACUUAUGUCAUAUAUCCACUAUAUUUCCAUCAUGUGAAUUGAUUCAUAUUUUCGUAUCAUAUAAUGCAAUGCGUGUCGUUGUCAGUUUAUUUUUAAUCUAUGAGUUUAAAUAUCCCUUUGGUAGCAUUCGCCCUUAUUUUGUAAACAUAGAUGAAUCUGCUUCUUUGUAAAAGCUGUUAGAACUGAAAGAAGAACACGUGAAUUAAAUUUUCCUCGGAGUUCAGUAUUUCUGUGACUUUACUUUUUAUUUUUAUUUAAACAUCUUAUUUUACAAUGUCCCACACUUCAUUAUAAAACAAGAUAUGAUUACCAUCACGAAUAUUCGUAGUUGAAAUUAGUCCCUUUUCUUUUCUCCGAUAUCUGAAAUCGAAUAUUUUAGGAACCAAUGAACAUGUAACUUUUUUCAUGAAUAAAAGUUCCUCCACAAUAAUGUUUUUUCCUACAUAUUAUUUCUUAUAUUAAAAGUGUAUUUGGUUACGAUGUGGUUAAGGUGGAUAAACAAAUGUAAAAAAAAGAUGCAUUAGUGCAGACAAACAUAAUUUCCAAUCAUGAUUUUUUAAGUCGUUUGUAAGAUGCAGCCAAAGGGCACAUACUAUGUGAUAUAUUGUUCAGGCUUUUGCUUCAAUGAAUAAAAAUGACGCAACC